CUGUCCUUUGGGAAAUGAGCCCUUCCUCCUGGGCAAUGGGACGGGGAACUCCACGGAGCCGGAGGACACGGUCCUGAGCUAUGAAGAUACCUCUCUCUGGCCAUUAGUGACCAUCUACUGCAUCAUCAUGGCCUUUGUCUUCUCCAAGGGGAAGCCCUUCAGGAAGCCCAUCUACACCAACUACAUUUUCUCCAUCUUCCUCUGCAUCCAGCUGGGCCUCUGCUUGUUCCUCUUCUUUGCUGACAUAGAAGCCAUCUACAAGGGGCUGAUGCUGCUCUGUACCCCAACCAUCUGGAGGAUUUACAUCCUGAUCAUGCUCCUGGUCAAGUUUGGGGUCUCCUUCUUUGUGGAGG